rnacentral:rRNA from 1 species
GGACUACCCGGGUAUCUAAUCCUUUUCGCUCCCCACGCUUUCGUGCCUCAACGUCAGAUAUAGAAUGACUGAUUGCCUUCGCCUUUGAUGUUCUCUCUAUAUAUCAGCGGAUUUUACCCCUCCACAUAGGAUUCCAUCAGCCUCCUCUAUUCUCUAGUUUGAUAGUAUUAAUAGCUUCCACAAGGUUGAGCCCUGAUUUACCACCACUAACUUUUCAAACAGCCUACGCACCCUUUACGCCCAAUAAUUCCGGAUAACGCUCGCCGUCUAUGUAUUACCGCGGCUGCUGGCAC